AUCUUGAUAGCUCAGUUGAUAAGAGCAUGAGACUCUUAAUUUCGGGGUAGGGAGUUUGAGCCCCACACUGGGCA